rnacentral:rRNA from 1 species
GGUUGACCUCGGAUCAGGUAGGAAUACCCGCUGAACUUAAGCAUAUCAAUAAGCGGAGGGAA